rnacentral:lncRNA from 1 species
AUGGUCGACCAAUGGCGUUUGUUGUCUCGCGCCCCGCCCACUGGGGGGGGCGGGCCGAGGGUGCGCAGGCGCACGGCGUGGCCGGGCGGGCCGGCUGGCUGGGAAGAUGGCGGCGGAAGUCCUGGCCACCGCUGCCGCCGCGGAGCGGGCCCGGGGUAUCCGGGGUGCGCGGUCCAGAGCCGGGGCCGGGCCAUGAGCGCGCUGCCCUCGAGUCCCCGAGCCGCGGAGCCCGCCCGCGCCCCUGGGUCCGCCCCGCGCCCCUCGCCAUGGCGCGGCUCGCGGACUACUUCGUGCUGGUGGCGUUCGGGCCGCACCCGCGCGCCCCCCAGAGAGUACCGCGAGCCACACAGCUGUGCUGUUUGCACGGGAAGAGAAGCUGCCCUCCCUCCUGGCGGCCCUGAGAGGUGCUCGGCUGUGCAGGUCCCUGCAGAGGACGCUGGGGUGACGUGGCAGAGCCUGGCCGCGGCCUGCCUCCUGGGAGUGUGGAGCUGAGGUGCAUCUGGGGUCUCAGAGGGGUGAGGGGGAGUUACCCCCAGGCUGCGCUCUGGAAGCUGUUUGCUUGUAGCCAGCGGUGAGCCUUCAACCAGCCCUAAUCAGGCUGUGGUCUGCGCCAGGCACCGGCACUCGCCGUCCGGCACAGCCAGCCGGCAGGUGCACCUGUCGUCACGGCAGACUCGGUGGAGAAAAGGCAGUUGCCGGGCUCCUCCUCCAAGACCUGGCUCGGGAGAGAGCUUCCCAGAGGAGGGGCGCUGUGAGAUGGGUAGGGCAGGUCUGGGGCCGCUGGGGCCCAGAGGAGGAGCUCAGGCAGAGAGGCCCGCCCGCUGGGUCACUGGCUACCCCGGGGUGGGCAGCUGCAGCUCCAGGGCAGUGGACCCCUGCAGAGCCCUUGAAGCUGAGGAGUGGGGGGGAGGGUGGUGUGGACAGUGGUCUCCUCCUCUGUGCCCACUCUGUUGGGAUGAGAGGCUGCUGGGAGCAGCCCUCUGAUGGCCACCUGCUCCGCCUGGCCUCGGGGAGGCCAUCAGCAGAGGCUGCUGUCCCUGGCUGCAUACUCUCUCCUCCUUUCUCCGCCUGCUGCCUCGUGGCAAGAACUGGGUGAGCCCUGGGUGCCAGCCAGGGCUGGGCCCAGAUGGUGGUUUAGGGCUGAGCACAAGGAGGCCCUUGGUGGAGUGGGUGGGGGGAGGAGCCACAGCGUAGGGAGUGUGCGCAUAUGAGCUGGCCUGGGCCUGUUGAGGAUGGUCCUUGGGGGUGGGACUGAAGAGACCCACAGUGGGGUAGCCCAUAGGUGUGUGUAGGUAGGUGCAGCCCCAGCAGACACCUGCAGCCCCCCCGCCCCGACACCUGUCCCCUGUGGGGUGGCUGUGGAGAUGGGGGAGGGGAGCAGGAAGCUGAGGUUUUGUGAGUCAAGAGUCAGCCCCUCUGCUCCCCGUCGCUCCCAGCUGAACAGCAGCCUGCCGGUGCUGACGUCCUGGGCCCCGGCUGUCCCGUGAGGCUG